AUGCCUCCCCUGGUGGUGACAAUACUAGUUUUGUUUUAUUUUCAAAUUUCCUUCCUUCUAAUUAUACUAUAUAACACUACUUAUGUACCCAUGCCAUGUUUUCGUGCUUCUACACUGCAAUACUACCGCUCCGUCUGGCUGGAUAAGUGCUCCCAUGAAUCAACAACAAAUCCUUUAAAUUUGCAUGUCAACGACACAAAAGAUGCACCCUCACAUUUGCUACUGCCGCAAGCUUAUAUUGUUUCAUUGUCAAUGUUUUAUUCUAUGCUUCCAACCAAGAUAAGUAAUGUUGAGUUGACAUAUUUUCAUGCUUCCUACAUUUUAUUUCAACAUCAUGAUUCGUACAAUUUGUCAUAUUUUCAUACAAUUUUACCACACAUCUUCAUAUAUCAGUUUAUUUCGUCAAUUCACAUAUCUGCAGAUUUCCUGACAUACUACAUUUCUUAUGUUUUCAGUGGAGCCACAAUAAUGAAGCAGGAGAUAUGCUCAAGGGUACCCCACCUCUGA
rnacentral:rRNA from 1 species